CGUCAUCCAUGCGCUCUGUUACUUUCUGUUAGGAGUUAGCGUAAAAUGUGCUGCUUGUAAAACGUGCCGAAGCUGUUUAUCCACUGGCGGGUCUAUGUGCUUGUUUGGAGAGUUGAAUGUGGACACUUGAGACCGGCAUGCGCUAAGGACUGUACCGACUUUCUGAAGGAGCAUUAUUUGCUCUGUGCUUCAUCAUAAGGCUUUAUUCGUGUAGGGCCUCAUCAGCUGCUGUUCUGUUUUGGGGUUUGUUUUGUUUAGUGUUUGGUGUGCUGUUCUGUCACGAGCGAGUCGUCUCGAGUGAACCGCUGUUCGAAUCGCCUUGGGUGAACCGUUCUGAGCCACUGUCUAUGGUUCUGAGUUUGCUGUUCGAGUGAAUAAUUUCAAGUGAACUGUUCAGUGAACGAUGACUCCGUUUUCGUGAUUUGUUUGUUCGUUUCCUUCUAUUUUAUUUUGUUUAGUAUUUUCAAAGACGAGGUUUUUUUUUUAAUGUUCUUUUGAAUUCAAUUGUAUUAGUAAAUUUACAUCUUUCAUUUGUGUUUUGAAUUAUACCGAUGCCUUUAUGACAAUUUGCAUUUUGUUUUCCAUAACACUGCUCUUUUAAUGUUGUUUUCUUUGUUUGUUGGCAGGGACUGGGCACCCGGGGGCAGACGCGUGACCAAUUGGGUGGUAGGGUCUUCACUGUAGUGGUCUUCUCUGACAUGAGUCGUGGAGUGUGUGCUGUGCUGGUGCGUGUGCACUGAAUGGGGUGCUCUUCAUAGAGGUGAUAUCUUGAGACUGCCCUUGUAUGGAGCCAUCAUGACAAAAUGAUUUUGAAUUGUGUAAACUUGAAUUAUUUGCAAGUGUAAUCUAACAAAGUUGAAUUUUAGGUGGUAGUUUAAAUUCUUAAUUUUUUUUUUUUUAACUAAUAUUGAACAUUUGAAAUUUAACAAACUGAAAUGUUUUUAUGGCUGAAUUUUAUAGACCUGUAUUUUCAAACAGCUAGUUUUUUUUGUUCUGAAUUCUUAUACUGCAAAUACAUUUAAAAAAAAAUUCAGAUUCAAGUUUUCAAGAUGAAGAAAUUCAGAACUUCAAAUUCAGUUUUCUAAAAUUCAAUGUCAAAAAUUCAGAUCUUACAGAAAGUAGGUCACAGGUCAUCCUCAGGGAAGAGUAGAUGAUCUCAGAAAAGUCGAACAGAGCAUUUUUGCCAAUUGGAGAGACUGCGGAAGUUUUCCAACGCGAACGUGGUGGUGGUUCAAGAGGUUGCCACUCUCUGACUCUGGUCAUGAAUCGCCCGGUGUUGUGUUCUAUUCGGUUCCAUGAAAAACUGUUCCCUUGGGUGGAGUUAACAUGAAUAUUCAUUAGUUCCCUUAUUGUGAGCGUGUCCUUGAAACAACGUGCAAACGAAUGGAACUGAAAAUAUCAGUGCACGCUCGUCAAAUCUCUAUUUGAUUUAAUGGUUUGUUUUAAACUGGUAACGAAGUGUCAAUGUUAAGUGUUCAUUAGAAUUAACUGCAACAGUGCCAAAACAAUGGAUAGUUUGUGUAAUAUGAUAAAUUGUGUUCCAUGUUUUGCUUGAUUGAUUACAGGCACACAGAAAAACAAGCUAAUUUAACCUGUCUUACCUAAUAGUUUUUACUGUUUGGUGUAUUUUGCUUUUUAUAUAUUUCAUCUGUGGGGCUUUUUUAAUAAUAGUUUGCUUUGAUUAGACUACAUAGUUGUCAUUGGAGAGAGACCAGUACAAUUUGUAUACAAAACCUGAAACAAACCACUACAAAUGUAUCUGUGUCUUAAUAAAAUCGGUGUGAGCAUCCUGUGUCAUGCUUUCUUUUAAUCUUUUAUAACCAGUUUUUACCAGCCUUCACAGCCCCAUCAGUGGAAUUAUUAUUAUAAAUGCAAAUUUACUUCUGUCACAUUUUAUCCUAUUACUAACAUUUUAAAGUCAUGCAACAUUGAAACAACAUGUGAGUUAUUUUUUUAUAUUUAAAUGAACAGUCUUUUUAAAAUGGACAUUUUCUUUAUUGCAUUGAGUUAACAGUCAAAUACAGAGCUUAACGAUUUAGACAAUCUGAUAAAGAACUACUACUAAAUAUAAUAAUGUAUAUCAUAAGCAUACAUUGUAUCUGUUCUUUGACCAUAGCACUGAAAAACAACCUCGUCAUGUUUAAGAAUAGUGAUCCAUUGUGUAAAUAAUGUUUAACAUUUGAAAGUCUUAUUCAAAAUUGUUUUCACAUUUUACAAACUAUUACAUACAAUGAAACUCAAAUGUUUCAAAAACUCUGUUCUCCUGUCGCUUACCAAAAUUAAUAUCCUCUUAGAUUCAUUAAAGUUGAUAUUUCAAUAAUUUAACAACACUCUUUAAUGUUGACAGUUCUCUGGUGUGUAUUAAUGGUAUCAUGGCAUGCAGGUUAACAAAUAAAAUGUUAUCUUUAA